rnacentral:rRNA from 1 species
UCGGGAAUUUUGGGCAAUGGGGGAAACCCUGACCCAGCAACGCCGCGUGAAGGAUGAAGUAUUUCGGUAUGUAAACUUCGAAAGAAUAGGAAGAAUAAAUGACGGUACUAUUUAUAAGGUCCGGCUAACUACGUGCCAGCAGCCGCGGUAAUACGUAGGGACCAAGCGUUGUUCGGAUUUACUGGGCGUAAAGCGUGCGUAGGCGGCCCGCCAAGUCAGAUGUGAAAUCCCGGGGCUCAACCCCGGAACUGCAUCCGAUACUGCCUUACUUGAGGGUCGGAGGGGAGUCUGGAAUUCUCGGUGUAGCAGUGAAAUGCGUAGAUAUCGAGAGGAACACUAGUGGCGAAGGCGAGACUCUGGACGACAACUGACGCUGAGAGACGAAGGCCAGGGGAGCGAAAAGGAUUAGAUACCCACGUAGUCCCUGAGCGGGCUGGCAAGGCGCAU